rnacentral:rRNA from 1 species
UACAGAGGUCUCAAGCGUUGUUCGGAUUCAUUGGGCGUAAAGGGUGCGUAGGCGGCGUGGUAAGUCGGGUGUGAAAUCUCGGAGCUUAACUCCGAAACUGCAUUCGAUACUGCCGUGCUUGAGGACUGGAGAGGAGACUGGAAUUCCUGGUGUAGCGGUGAAAAUGCGCAGAUAUCAGGAGGAACACCGGUGGCGAAGGCGGGGUCUCUGGGGCCGUAACUGACGCUGAGGAGCGAAAAGCGUGGGGGAGCGAACAGG